UUUAUACUCCCUCCGUCCGAAAAUACUUGUCAUCAAAAUGAACAAAAAGGGAUGUAUCUAGAACUAGAAUACAUCUAGAUACAUCCCCUUUUAUUCAUUUUGAUGACAAGUAUUUCCGGACGGAGGGAGUAUUUA
rnacentral:pre_miRNA from 1 species